UGCCCGCGACGACUGCAUGGGCGCAGGGCCCCCGCACCAGCCCCGUUCGGUUUCGCCAGCGGCCUGGGAGAAGGUCGGGCCGGGCCUGUCGCUGAUGGGGCGCAACAGCUGCAGGUCGCAAAUGGCGCUCCCCGCCCCGGCCCAGCCCCCGCGCUGGCUGGGGGCGGCGCCCCCCGGCCGGGCUGCGGGCCCCGGCCGCGGGCGGAGAGGGGGCGGCGCAGGUAGCUGGGCGGCCGCCCCGGAGUAAGCGCGGGCGCGGGGCCGCCGCGGCGGGAUGGGGCGGCUCGGGGCCCGCCGCCUCUUCCUGCUCGCCGCCUGCCUGGGGCUCUGCGGGGCGCGCGGGGCGCUCGGAGCAUCUUUUUAUGGUGAAAGUUAUGUGGAGCUCAACAUCAUAGAAGUUUCCUCUGAGUUAUCUCUUCAAUUAAAAUUUCAAACCAGCAAACCAUGGGGAUUACUUUUUCUUGCAGCGGGGAAAAAUGACUACUGUAUUAUAGAACUUCUAUCAGGAAACUUACGGGUGAGGGUGAAUUUGGGUGCAGGUAAACAAGUGCUCCUUUCUGAGGAAAGACUUCGUACAGAUGACCUGGUUUGGCAUUUAGUGGAACUGUACUAUGUUAAAAACAAUGUCUCUCUGGUUAUUGACAAACAUUAUGAGACAACGGGCCAUAUCACCGGUGAGGUGCACAAUUUGCACUUUCAACACGGAAUCUACAUAGCAGGCCACGGUGGACUUGAUGUCCCUUACCUGAAUGGAGAGCUCCCCAAUUUCCGCGGAUGUAUGGAGGAUGUGCUAUUUAACCAGGAGGAGAUCCUGGCAUCCCUUAGAUCUUACCCUGGCUUUAAGAAGGUUUAUGAAGUGUCACUAGGAUGCAGUGACGAAUUUUUUGCAGGAGAGGAUGAAGCCAUCAAUUUCUUCAGCUCCAGAUCCUACGUCACCUUCCCAGAAUGGAAGGUGCCAGGGGAAGGGCUAUUGGAAUUUGCUUUACAGACUGGAACUCAACAAGCCUUACUUUUAUUUCAGUCAGGUAGAGAAGGAAAUUUCGUUGCUUUGGAAAUAGUUAACGGUCUAUUGAGGGCUCAUGUAGGAUGGAGCAAAAGCAACACCCAGCUCUCUUCGUUUAGCUUAGUUAGUGACAACAAGUGGCACGUUAUUCAACUGAAGUUCACUGGAAGUUAUCUGGCCCUGAUGGUGGAUGAGCAAGGGGUAAGGACAUUGCUGCCUUUGCAAAGCAAGCCAUUUGUAUCUGAAGGCCCACUCUUUGUGGGAGGUCUUAAUGCCCGUAAGGGAGAAGAAGUUAAGAAGUUAGGAUUUGCCUCUGUGCCUAAGAAAUCUGCUCGAGGAGUUUCUUUCAAAGGAUGCUUAAGAGGCUUGGAAGCCAACUCAGAAAAGAGAGCAUUGAAGGAUGCCCUUGUUUCCAAAGAUAUAGCUGCUGGGUGUAAAACGAGGAGUAGUGAUAAUGAAAAUCCUUUCAUAACGACAAUGGAAAACCUGCUUCAGUCAGAAGUUCCCCUUUCCACCACCGUCGUUGAGGCAAGCAAGCCUUUUUUUCAAGAUGCGAGUAGCUAUUUCUUGAGUCUGAGUAACUUGGAGAUCCAAGAAGGUGGGCGAGCCUUACUGGAACAAAGGCAUAUGAAAGUGGAUGUGGAAUCUGAAGAUUUGGGUGUCCAUCAUUCUCAAAUUCUAUUUAAAAUAGAGGAAAUGCCCCUUCACGGGUUCCUUCAAUUAGAUGUUUCCCCUGUUCAGGAAAUGGAGAAAGCUUUCACGAUGUUAGAUUUGAGGCAAGGGAAAGUUUGGUAUAUCCAUGAUGGUUCAGAAGAACCUAGGGAUUUUUUCACAUUUUCAGUCUCUUCCAACAGCAAGCAGAAAAUUCCAUUUUAUCUGCAAGGCCAUGUUCCAUAUGUGUUCAACAUUACUGUCAUUCCAGUAAAUGACCCCCCACACCUUAAGCUCCCCGAAGGAAACUUGCUUCUCUUGUUUGAGCAUUCUAAGAAACGACUGACUCCAAAUAUAAUACACGUGUCAGACCCUGACACAGAUUCCUUGAGUCUUAGUUUCUCCAUUCUUGGCAACUUCAAUUCAGAUGCUGGGUUUGUAGAAAACACCAAUGAUCCUGGGAAAGCGAUUAAUGGUUUUACACACGGGGAUUUAAGAGAUGGCAACAUUUUCUACGUGCACAGAGGUCCUCGGAACUCCCGGAUCCUUCUGAGAGCAAGUGAUGGAGAGCUGGUUAGCAAUACAGUAGUGUUACGGGUCAUGGCUGUUCCUUGGGGCUUUGAAGUGGCCAUUAGAACUGGUGUCGUUGUCCAGCAGGGUGGCACAGUUCUGAUUACACAGAGUAACUUGUCGGUGGAGGUUAAUGGUGAACCCCACGAGAUGGAGACCCGCUAUGCUAUCACUCAGCCACCCCAAUUUGGCCAGAUUCAGCGGCAGGGGUCAAGUGGCGAAUGGAAACAAGUUAGUACCUUUUCUCAGCAUUCCAUUGAUCGGGGUCAGGUCCGGUACCAUAGUACAUUUCGAGAAUUACAGCUAGGAAAUGUUACAGAUCACUUUAAAUUUAAAGUUAACAUAGAAGGAAAAGUCAGUGAGGAGCUAAUGUUUCCGAUUACCGUACGGUGGCUAAAGUUUACACUUCUCAAAAAUGUUCCUCUUAAGGUCAGUAAAAUAAACAGACAAGUAUUGAAUUCUGAUCAUUUGCAGGCUGUGACAGAGGGUGUGGACGUAGCUCAGAAGGAACUGCAUUUUAAGUUGCUGACCCCACCUAAGAAAGGAAAAUUGCUGCUUGGCAAUAAAGUGCUAAAAACAAACUCAGUCUUCAGCCAACAAAACAUUACAGACUCUAAGAUAAGUUACGAGCCACAGGAGAGGCCCAGGGAAGACACACAAGAUACCUUUAGGUUCUUGAUUGUUGCGAAGCACAUAGCAUCAAAAGAUUAUACUUUCAGAAUAAACUUCGAAGCAGAUAAGACACGCGUUACUGUGACUAACAGAAGAUUAUUUGUAAAAGAAGGAGAAGGGAAAUUAAUUACAAAAUCAGAAUUAUUUGCUCAAACACUGGACAAUCAGACCUUCCGAUAUAAAAUCACCCAGAGUCCUCAACACGGGAAGCUGAAACUGAUUAACUUGUCAAAUCCUUUGAGAAGUCAUGACAAUAUCACUGCAUUCACUGAUCAAGACCUAGUGGGCGAGCGACUGAUGUAUGUCCACGAUGAUUCUGAGACCCAGUGUGAUGAAUUCCUCCUUGUGGCCUCUGCCAUAGCACCAGGCCAAGACGGAGUGGUCAGGGAUCUUGACACAGAGCAUUUAUCUACAGAAAUCAAAGUUACCAUUUCUGUAGGGUUAAAGAAUGAUGAGAAGCCAGUGCGUGUGGUAGAUAGGGUCUUUCACGUUGUGAGAAAUGGCCAGCGCCUGCUGACCCUGGCAGAUCUCUGUUACCAUGACCCCGACUCAGAUUUUGAUGAUGGGCAGUUGCUCUACACCCGGCGGGGCAUCCCAAAUGGGGACUUGGUGACAGCCAGUGACCUCUCUCAGAAACUAUACCAGUUCAGGCAACGUGACCUUCAGGAAGGGAGAGUGCUCUUUAGGCAUUGGGGUGCAGACUCUGCUCGCUUUGUGCUGUUCGUGACGGAUGGUGUCCAUUACACAUCAUUCCUUCUAGAAGUCAGUGCCUCAGACCCUUAUGUCCAGAUAGCCAACAACACGGGGUUGCUUGUACAGAGAGGAGAGGGCAGCAGCCUCACAGCAGCUAACCUCAGUGUCACCACGAACCAAGAUAUCAGAACGGACCACGAGAUCGAAUUCCACAUGGUACAGUCCCCGAAGCAUGGCCGAGUGCUGGUCAACCACUCAGUGUCCCGCUCAUUUUCCCUGCAUGAUGUGAAACAAGGCCAUGUGUUUUAUAGGCAUGACGGCAGAGGCAAUUCUGAUAUGUUCAACCUGACAGUGAGAGUUAAAGAGGUGUAUGUAGACGUAGGCAUCUAUGUGCGCGUGUACUCUGAAAGCCACCAACAUGGCACCCAAAUUCUGCUCCAGACCCUUGUUGUUGAAGAAGGAAAACCAGUAAAACUGAGUAGAGGAAGAUUGCAGGCUGUGCAUGAAGAUAAUAUUCCUGCAGAGGCAAUGUUCAUCGUCAGAAUUCCGCCGAUGCAUGGAUACCUCCGAAAAUCUUUACCUGAAGAAGGCAGCUUGGGUGCAGAUGAAAAGUCCCCUCUGAUUUUUACACAACAGGAUAUUGAUGAUGGCAAUAUCCAUUAUGUACAGAUAGCUCCUGAGCAACAACAGGACCAUUUUUUACUGGAUGUGGUGAGUGGUAUCCAAGCUGUGAAUGGAAUUGAAAUUUUGGUGGAUAUCGUCCCUAAGCGGAUUCCUCUGGAGGUACAAAAUUUCACAGUCCAGGAAGGUGGUUCCAAAGCACUUCUGGAAGACUAUCUCAAAAUUCCAAGCAAAUAUUUUGAGGGAGUUGACUGUGAAUUUGUUCUGCUCAAACCACCACAACACGGUUAUGUUGAAAAUUCUAAUUUUCCAAGAAUAAAGCUAAUGAAGUUUACCAGGAAACAGGUGGAAAAUGAAGCGAUUUACUAUGUGCAUGAUGAUAGUGAGGAGCUUCUUGACAAUUUCACCAUCUUUGCAAAUAGCUCAGAGCUUGGAAAACAGAGUUUGCCCCAAACUCUUUUUGUAACUGUGGAAUCAGUAAAUGAUGAGGCUCCAAUAAUAACAGCCAACAACAUCCUUCAGGUAUGGGCGAAUUCUGUCACCGAGAUUACCAGUGGGGACCUCUGUGUGGAAGAUGAGGACUCCUCCCCACAGGACCUCAUCUACUGGGUCAGUCCACCCAGCAACGGGCAUUUGGCUCUCAAGUCCUUUCCUGGCCAAAGCAUCCAGAACUUCACCCAGGCUCAAAUCAACAAGGGCCUGCUAGUGUUUGUACACACUGGAGCCAUGUCAGGAGGCUUUAACUUUCAGGUUACUGAUGGUUUGAACUUUGCACCGCGACAAAUAUUUAGCAUCACCGCUCGAGCCCUGACCAUUAGCUUAGAAGUAAACCGAGGAUUGAGCAUCUUUCCAGGGACGCAAGUGAGCCUUGCUCAGUUGGCUUCUCCACUAGCCACUGAAGGAUGUUGGUCUCUGCUGCUGUGUGAAGGUUCCACGAAACCCCUUUCAUCCGGUGACCUGAGAGCUGUGACCAAUGAUGCGGACAGCACAGGAAACAGAACUGUAACUUUUACGGUUAUAAGUUCCCCUAGACUUGGGAGGUUGGUGCGAGUAAAUUCUGACAACAGCACAGAGGAUGUUUCCGUGUUUACGCAGACUCUGGUCAGUGAACGACUGAUAUUAUAUCAGCAUGUGGACCGUGAGAACACUGGCUGGACUGCAGAAGACUCUUUCACAUUCACGACAUCCUCCCCACCAGCAGCUCUAGGCCCUGAGGAGUUUCGUAUUACUAUAUCAUAUGAAAUUACUGAACCUGGUCGGCAUAGUCGUCUGCUUGCAAAUACAGGAGCUGCCGUCAAGGAGGGAGACAAAGUUCUCAUUGGCCAAUCUAAUUUAGAUGCUUCCAACCUCUUACUGAAAUUACCCAAAUCACAGCGAUCUUCCUAUGAGAUCUGGUUCCAGGUUAUAUCUCUUCCUCACCAUGGAACCCUUAUGGUUGGAGAGAGGAAUAUUACCAAAGGAAAACCCAAUUUCUCCCAGUAUAUAGUUAAUAAAUUUGGAAUCAUAUACCUUCACGAUGACUCUGAAUCACUGGCUGAUAAUUUUACCUUUGCCGUUUGGCCAAAUCAAAAGAGCAAGUCUGCCACCAAGCCAAAGGCUGACUUCCUUGAAGAGAUGUUUAACAUCACCAUCUCUCCUGUUAAUGACCAGGCACCAGCAUUAAAGACAAAGGGGCUUCGGUUGAAAGUUCUACAGGGCAACAGGUUAGUUGUGGGACCUGAAAAUCUGAGAGUGGAAGAUCUAGACAGUCCUCCAGAGGAGAUCAGAUAUAUGAUCAUCCGUAAUCCUAAUAAUGGAUUUUUGGCACUGGCUCACCAUCCAGACAUACCUGUUCACCAUUUCACACAGGCCGACAUUGACAACUCUAGGGUUUUAUUCAUUCAAGAUGGAAGCCCAUCCUCAGGCGUGUUUUACUUUAGUGUGACCGAUGGUCAACACCGCCCACUCUAUAAGCUCUUCCACCUGGAUGUCAUCCCCAUCUCCAUCACCCUUGUGAACCUCACUGACCUACUUCUCCCACAAGGCCAGACAAUAGUUCCUAUCACCAAUACUCAUCUGUCAGCAAUGACCAAUGGGAGAAGCCCCCAAAUCACUUACAAGAUGACAUGGCCGCUCCAACAUGGGCAUCUGCUCAUUGAAAACCAGGUGGUCAUCAGCUUUGGGCAGGAGGAUCUACAUUCAGGAAGACUCUCUUACCAUAUGACAAAUCUCACUGCCUCUGGGGACCAGCUACAUUUCUCACUGUUUACACCAGAAAGCAACCUUACAGGACAAACACUGAGCAUCAGAGUGCAGCCUCUACUAUGGGUUAUGUCAAACUUGACCAUUGCCAACAGAGUGGUUUAUCAGCUGAGAAGAAAGGACCUUGAUGCUACUGAGCUUGCUAAUAAGACUAAGAGUGAUCCCCAAUUUGAAGUGACAGAACCCCCUGUCCAUGGAAGACUUGUACGAAGAGUGGGCCGAGGUGCUGAAAUGGAAAACGCUACUGUAUUCACUCAGAGGGACAUUGACCAAGGAUUGUUAAUGCUGAAUCCACAUGCCAACUUAACAGGCAUCAAUAUGGUGAAUGACUCCUUCACUUUCCUGCUCAGGGCAGACCGUGUACAGCCAGCAAUAGGUUAUCUCCCCUUCACCAUAGUGCCACCUGACCCCUUACUCUUGCAAACAUUUAUCCCUGAUGUUUCUUUACUAGUCACUUCCAAUAACCCUGUGACUUCAGAUUUCUCUCAGGAAAAGCUUGUGGUUUCCUCAGGACCCACAGUACAGGCAGAAACUUUAGGGAAGCUGACUCAGGCCAGGCAGCAGCAAGCAGAUCCCUGGGGACGACACCAUGGUCAAGAGCCUACAAUGGACAGCAGAGCCUCUCUAACUAGGAUCAUUUGGCCACCAAACACCACCGACGCCAGUCCUCAGGCACCCACCCAACCCAGGGAGAGCAAUUAUCCUGUGAUAGUCAUUGUACCCUCGGCUGUGGUGGUCUUCCUGCUGAUAGUAACUGCUGUGACCUUGUGUAUCCGGAUGCUGGGCCGGAGGGCAGAAAAGGCAAAACCUCUCAUCAAGCCCCUGACCAAUCUGGAAACUACAACCCCAAGUCCUAGGCCAGAAAGGAGCAUAGCUGUUCCCACUGUCACAGUGACACCCCUUCUAAAAAGCUCCAGCAGUCCUCCAGUCAGUCUUUGCAGGGACCCACUAAGUGGGCAAAUGGCUUCUCCAGAUACUGAGCCAGUGGAGAAAUGUGCUCCUUGGGAGACAUGGAUGAAUCUGGAUCCUGACAUGGUCAAGCUCUGCCGACAAACCAACCCAACACUGAAGCACAACCAGUAUUGGGUGUAGACUGAGGGCUCUUGUUCCUGAGUGACCGCCUGCUGUACUGGGAUAGGUACUGGGAUCCAAAGGCAAAGGAAUGCUGGGUGAAUCAACUGAGAAAAGCUUGGCCGUGACAGUCACUCAGUGCUCAGUUAUCGUCCCGUGGUUAGAUGUUGGCAAGUGUUUAUUGUAAUGCGUACAACACUCUUCUGAUGGGCUCUCCACAAUGAGCUUUGUAUGCUGUCUUCUGGACCUGACUCUGAGUAUAAGGUUGUGUCAGUAUUUAAGCCCUUUACCAAAGUGCUACCAAACAUGCUGGCCUAACUGGGAACAGCAGUAUUAACUUGGGUGCUAGAGUUAAUGGAGGAAGCCUUUGCAUAUUUUUCACUAAGGAUUCACUCUCUCUGAGUGAGUCAGCAAGGAAAUGCAGGAACUGUUUCAGCAAGUAGAAAAGGUUCUUCCAGAAUCACACAAGGAGUGACAGGAGAGAAGGUAUGGAAAAAAGGACAAAGAGAAAUAGAGGUUCAGAAAGGGCUUCGUCUUUUCACUUGAAAACUCAGUGGUGUGGUGAGAAUGAGGGACCUCACUGGCCCACCCACCUCCACUUCCGCCCACCUGUCCCUCAAGGUGCCCCUCAUGUUCCCAUCGAGGCCUACAGAGUGAGACACUACAGAGUGGUUAGAUCUAGACUCUGCCUCUGUUUUGGAUCCUGGCUCUCUGCUUCCAAGCAGUGUGGCUUUGAGUAAUGUAUUCAAUCUCAUUGAAUUUUGAUUUUUUAGACAACAAUUUCUUCCUCCAAACCUACCUCUUUGGGUUUUGUUAAGAUUUAGUGAUGUUAAUAUCAUUAUCAUCAUCAUCAUCAUCAUCACCACCUCCAUACAGAAUUUUCAGUGCAUCAGGCACUAUACUAACUGCUACAAAAACUUUUUCUUACCUGCACUUUUAAUGCAUUUUAAAAGAACUAAUACAUUAGGCCACUUCAGUAAACGAGAGGCUCAUAUUCUACCCAAAGCAGUACAUGGAAUUGAAGCAGUAUGUGGUAAUGGAAUUUCAGGUGGGCGGUUUAAGGAUAGGUGAUGUGUUUUUCAGAAGGGGAGCUUCCCACAUGCUCAUGCCCCACUGGGCAGGCACUGCUUUCCCCUUUGUCCUUGGAUGGAGCCUUGGCAAGAAAAUGGAUGAAAGAAAGAACACAUCAGGAACAUUUGUAAAAUCAGGGAUUUUAAUGGUUCUCUAUCUUGUAGGGGCUGCUGAACUGUUGAUGAAAUAUUCUGCUUUGUUCCCUUCCUUUCCAAACUGGAUCAAAUCCCUACAUCGGCCAGGGCUUUGAUUUGAAACCUUUACCCCUUCUCCCACUUCCCAUCCCAUUAUUCCCAAGCAUUCACAGGCUACUACUUUUCUUUUCUCUUUUCAAAGCUUAAUUAUGUAUUUUGAGGGGGAAGGCAGAGAGAGAGGGAGAGGGAGAAGCCCAAACAGCCUCUGCACUGCCAGCACAGAGCCCAACAUGGGGCUUGAUCUCACGCACUGUGAGAUCAUGAGCUAAGCCAAAAUCAAGAUUCCCACACUCAACCGACUGAGCCAAUGAAGCACCCUAGUAAUUUUCUUUUUAAGUCUAGGAUUAGCAAAGGACUGCCACUUAAAAAAAAUUAAUACCAUAACUUUACCAAAAUAAAAAGUGCUGUUUACCAUCACCAUAAUUUCCUUUCUUAAGGACAAACUUACAAUAAAGAACUUUGGGGGGAAAAAUAAGCAACUUUAUGCAAAAUUCUCUCCUUUGUCCAGAUCUGACCACGGCCUGGAAAAACCUCAGCACACGCCAGCAGGGCCAAGAACUGUAUGGAGGCCAUGCUUAUGGCUGCAUGGCCAGACCUCAGGGAGAAGCAGGGAAGAGAAAAGUCAGCUCCUCAAUGACGGUGUUCCUUAGGAAAAUGUGGUCAGUCAUCCUGUGUGUGUGUGUGUGUGUGUGUGUGUGUGUGUGUGUGCAUUAGCAAGGUUUGGGGAUGAGGACUAACUCGCUAUUUAAGAGUCCAGACAAGACCAGCUCCACAGGCAUAUGCAACCAGUGCAGCCACACAGGCCUCAGAAGGACCUGGGCUAGGAUUAAUGCUCUGUGUAACCAUCUUGAAAUUCCAAUAAUUUUUGAACAUAGCUCCCACAUUUUCAUGCUUCACUACGCCCUGCUAAUUGUAUAGCUGAUUCUGAGACUGCAUAGAAUUUAGUUGAUGACUGUUGCAUCAGACACCUCUUAAGCAUUGUUUAAAAUUCUCUCAGCUUGGCUUUUUCCUCCAACUAUGGCUCUGGCUACCAGUUCCAGGCAUAUUUAUAGCCAUAAAUGAGGGUGUAGUGUGCCCUGGGUCCCGGUAUCUCUGCAGCAUGCCUGUGUGAACCUGUACUUGCACAACCCAGAAGUGAGAGAGUUAACUCCCCACAGAACAACCCUCACCCAGCAGCAAAGAGGAGCUAAGGAAUAAAUACCUGUUUAUACUG